GACACUUUGGCCGAGUGGUUAAGGCGACAGACUCGAAUUUCCCAAAAAAGAAGAAUUUUUCAAAAAAGAUUUGAUAUCUGUUUCAUUCGUGAGCGCAGGUUCAAAUCCUGCAGGUGUCG
rnacentral:tRNA from 1 species